rnacentral:SRP_RNA from 2 species
GCUGGGCGUGGUGGCUCACGCCUGUAAUCCCAGCAUUUUGGGAGGCUGAGGUGGGCGGAUCACCUGAGGUCAGGAGUUCCAGACCAGCCUGACCAACAUGGAGAAACCCUGUCUCUA